rnacentral:rRNA from 1 species
AUUGAACGCUGGCGGCAUGCCUUACACAUGCAAGUUGAACGGUACAGGUCUUCGGAUGCUGACGAGUGGCGAACGGGUUAGUAAUACAUCGGAACGUGCCCGAUCGUGGGGGAUAAUGAAGCGAAAGCUUUGCUAAUACCGCAUACGAUCUACGGAUGAAAGCAGGGGACCGCAAGGCCUUGCGCGCACGGAGCGGCCGAUGGCAGAUUAGGCAGUUGGUGGGAUAAAAGCUGACCAAGCCGACGAUCUGUAGCUGGUCUGAGAGGACGACCAGCCACACUGGGACUGGGACACGGGCCAUACUCCUACGGGAGGCAGCAGUUGGGAAUUGUGGACACUGGGCUAAAGCCUGAUCCAGCCAUGCGGCGUGCAGGAUGAAGGCCGUCGGGUUGUAAACUGCUUUUGUACGGAACGAAAAGACUCUGGUUAAUGCCUGGGGUCCAUGACGGUACCGUAAGAAUAAGCACCGGCUAACGACGUGCCAGCAGCCGCCGCGGUAA